rnacentral:rRNA from 1 species
GACGAACGCUGGCGGCGUGCUUAACACAUGCAAGUCGAACGGUGAAGCGCCUUCCUUUUUGGUGGGUGUGGAUGAGUGGCGAACGGGUGAGUAACACGUGAGUAACCUGCCCCCUUCUUCUGGAUAACCGCAUGAAAGUGUGGCUAAUACGGGAUAUUCUGGGUCUGUCGCAUGAUGGGUCUGGGAAAGAUAUUGUUUCGGUGGGGGAUGGGGUCGCGGCCUAUCAGCUUGUUGGUGGGGUGAUGGCCUACCAAGGCGGUGACGGGUAGCCGGCCUGAGAGGGUGGACGGUCACACUGGGACUGAGACACGGACCAGACUCCGACGGGAGGCAGCAGUGGGGAAUAUUGCACAAUGGGCGCAAGCCUGAUGCAGCGACGCCGCGUGAGGGAUGGAGGCCUUCGGGUUGUGAACCUCUUUCGCCAGUGAAGCAGGCCUGCCUCGUUUGUGGGUGGGUUGACGGUAGCUGGACAAGAAGCGCCGGCUAACUACGUG